UGGGGAAUAUUGCGCAAUGGGCGAAAGCCUGACGCAGCAACGCCGCGUGCGGGAUGACGGCCUUCGGGUUGUAAACCGCUUUCAGCAGGGACGAAACUGACGGUACCUGCAGAAGAAGCACCGGCUAACUACGUGCCAGCAGCCGCGGUGAUACGUAGGGUGCGAGCGUUGUCCGGAAUUAUUGGGCGUAAAGAGCUCGUAGGCGGUCUGUCGCGUCGGAAGUGAAAACUCGGGGCUUAACCCCGAGCCUGCUUUCGAUACGGGCAGACUUGAGGAAUGUAGGGGAGAACGGAAUUCCUGGUGGAGCGGUGGAAUGCGCAGAUAUCAGGAGGAACACCAGUGGCGAAGGCGGUUCUCUGGACAUUAACUGACGCUGAGGAGCGAAAGCGUGGGGAGCAAACA
rnacentral:rRNA from 2 species